rnacentral:rRNA from 1 species
CCUACGGGAGGCAGCAGUGAGGGAUAUUGGUCAAUGGACGAGAGUCUGAACCAGCCAAGUAGCGUGAAGGAUGACUGCCCUAUGGGUUGUAAACUUCUUUUAUAUGGGAAUAAAAUGUUCCACGUGUGGGAUUUUGUAUGUACCAUAUGAAUAAGGAUCGGCUAACUCCGUGCCAGCAGCCGCGGUAAUACGGAGGAUCCGAGCGUUAUCCGGAUUUAUUGGGUUUAAAGGGAGCGUAGGUGGAUUGUUAAGUCAGUUGUGAAAGUUUGCGGCUCAACCGUAAAAUUGCAGUUGAAACUGGCAGUCUUGAGUACAGUAGAGGUGGGCGGAAUUCGUGGUGUAGCGGUGAAAUGCUUAGAUAUCACGAAGAACUCCGAUUGCGAAGGCAGUUCACUGGACUGCAACUGACACUGAGGCUCGAAAGUGUGGGUAUCAAACAGGAUUAGAUACCCGUGUAGUC